CUGUUUCUUAUAAUUGCCUUAUUAUGUGGCUGUAUUGGAGCCAGUCGAGUGUCACCCGGCCCAUCUGGAUUUUGCAGUAAAAGUAUAGGAGCGUCUUGCUUGCUUUUUGCAAUACUUCUUAUUUUCUGUGUAAUUUCUUUUAUUGCGCUAAUAGGACUUUUCUAUUUAAUUCUUGGUGCAAUUACUUAUAAAGGUGCCUGUAGUCCAUCAAAAAAUGAAGUUGUUCAAAAUCUGAACACCAAUAUUGAUCUCAAUCGGUACAUCCAAGCUGACGAAUUCUAUGUACCUCCUUUAAGAACUUCAAAUGUUAUGGAAGCUUGUCAAGCCGAUGAAAAUAUAUUUAAAUUAUUGCAAAAAAACCGUCUAUAUGAUGUAAAUGAUUUAAAAAGAAUCAAAUUGUUUACAAUUACUGAGGAAUCUUCGCCAACUUUUGAAACCGAUUUAUCAACUAUGGAAUUAUUGACAUUAGAAGAAAAAGAGAGAUUAACUUUAAUGCGAACUGGAAAUUUUUCAUCGUAUCAUAGUAACCUAUACCAUGAAAAUUUAUGCACGAAUUAUGGAAAAAGCCUUGUAGAAGUUAAUACUCAAGUAAGGAAUUGGGUACGUGACACUAAUGCAGCAACUGAAGUACUUUCUUAUUUCUUGAGAGGAUCUAUACUGUACACAGUGUUACACGGAAUGAACAUCAAUAAAUAUUUUCACCAAAAACUAGUUAAUAGCAUUAAAGAGCUUGAAAAAACUGUAGACGAUAUUGAUCGCAUGAUUUUAUACGAAAGUCACGAUUUUAACAAUUCUAUUCUUAUCUUGUUUAAUUCAAUAAUAGAUUCCGAAAAAUUUAUUCAAGGUCGUGGCAAAGACUUUAUAAAUACGAUUGCUAGUAAUUUAACAGAUGAACUUAACGGAAUGGUUGAUAAUUUUAUCCAUAAGGUCGUUCGCGAAUCUACAGACAAAGUUGGCCAAUGCGCACCACUCUCCUAUAUUUAUAAUAGAAGUUUUCACUAUAUUUGCGAGCGGCUUGUUGAUCCUAUUAAUGCAUUUUGGCUGGGCUUAUUGUUAUGCACUAUUUUCCUUCUGCCAACACUUUUCGUAGCCCAUCGACUAAUGUGUCUUUAUUUAAAGAUAUAUCCAAUUACUUACGCAUGUGCACCUGUUGCGAU
rnacentral:sRNA from 1 species